rnacentral:lncRNA from 1 species
AUUUUUUCUUAUAAAUCAAAAUUUUUUCUCCUUAAAAUUAUAUAUUUUCUGGGGAUACACAUUUCUCCUCCAUACUGCCAAGUGAGCUUUGAAAUUUUGACACAAUUUCCGGCCGGAUAGCCGUUGUGAUUCUGAAUUAGCGCACAGGAGAUGAAAAGAAAAUGACCAGGAAAUAUACAAAGAAUCCAGCAAGAAGAAUUCCACCAUAGAUGAACGUUUGAGAAGACUCCACCGGGAAUCUAUAUUCGAUGUCACAGCAUUUCAUUUUCUCCUUCUCACUCACCAAAACAUAAUCUACAUUCCUGUUAUAUCAUAGACAGAUGAUCAUUACAAGGUUCAUAAAACCCUAAUCAGAAAUUUCAAUUUCAGAAUCACCAAGAAGCUUUUUCCCUGUGCAGGGCAACUUACUGUUGGGUGUAGAUAGUGCAUUGUAAAAUUUAUGAGCUGUUCAGGUGUGCAUCUUGUAACCGAUGAUCGUAUAACAGGGAUGAUAGAUCUACAAGUUCUUCCUCAAGGUUCUGUUAUUCAAUUAUGAAAAGGUCGAUGUGUUAAUGUCGGAAAUAUGUUUGUCUAGAUCAAGAUGGUCAUUGAGAAUAAGAAUUAACUUACAUCCAAGAAUUUCUCUAGUCUUUCAACUAAUUCGUGAGGUAAAGGUUCAGGCAAGUUAGUUUUCUUCUUGUAGAACUUUUCCAACCAUAGCUCAGUGCUCGACUUAUUUUUCUUGCCCUUGACUGGUUCACUAAGUGGGGUUUUCAGAUAUUCAGCAGCAAAAGUUUGUACAUACUACAAAGAGAAUAGAAUCUUGUAAGCAUAUAAAUAAAUGAUCAAAUGGCCAAAUUGAAGACAAACUAAUUUAUAUUUAUGAAAUAAAUAAAUAAAUAAAUAAUCAAGUUACCUCUGAUGUAUCCCGAAUUCUGUGUAGUGCAGAAUCUACACGAGCGUAUAUCGUGUUCCUCUGCCAACAAUACAAAGAAUUCCUUUCAGAUAUUCUUCGUCAACUAGAAUCAACUUAUUGUAAAGCAUUAUCAGAUGUCCAGACCAGAGAGUGACAGACACUCAGAAAACCAUAUUUUUCUCAAUGGCUUAAUGUAAAUAAAUCCCUUCUUUAGCUUUUAAGUUGUGACUUUUGCUACCUUAAUGAAGCUAACCUUGAUUAUCAUUUUUAAUAUUUUUAUGCAGAAUUAAGAAAAGAACAUCAUUGGAAUUACCAAGGCAACAUCCUGGAGCAUUUGACUCAUCUGGGAAGUAUUGGAGAAUGGUCCAAAUGGAUGACAACCAGCUGACCAGAGCCAAUUCACGAUCGAUCUUUCAUGUACAUGAGAAGCCUUUUCAUAUGGUGCACUCAAUCUGACACUAUCUUAUAAGGCCUAAGAAACUAUUAAGCCACAUGCACACAUUAGCAUAGUGAAGCUGAGACCAACGUGUGAGGCCUAAUAAAAUGACUGUAUUGCAAGAGAAAUGAAAGCUUCAGUUGCUUGUAAAACAGGGUGACAUGAAUUCCUAAAGGGUCACAUUAGAACUCAAUAUGUUAGUCCUAUUCAUUAUACUGGCAGAGAGCAGUCCUUUUACUUCUAGAUAAAUACAAUCCUGGAUAAUAGCCCAGAAUGUCUCUAACAAAGAGAUAUGCAUCAAAGAUGGCUAUAAGCUCAGCAUGAAUUAUGAUCAAGAGGUAGAGCAGCUAAGCAACAAAAAAAUCAUGAUAAGCAUAACUAAAUAAAGGAUGUUGAGAUGGACAAAUGAUAAAUCAAGAAAGGCUAGAAUUAGAAAUUAUUGCAUUCACCAAGAAACUAUGUGUAAUAUCUUCAGAUAAGGCUUUAUUAAGAUUUAUUAAAAAAAAAAAAAUCAGAUUCAUUAAGUGCUAAUUUUGAUAAACUUCCUGUUUUCUAAUUUUAAAAAUAAAAAAUAAUAGUAAGUUUAAUAUAAAAUAUAGUAACUCUUAUAUAAAAAGUAUCGACUUACCUUAUGUCCAACAAGACUUUCAUCUUCCAUCAUAAGGUGUAUGAGCUUUUUUCACUAUACCUUCCAAGACCCAGCCAAACUUGAGAUGCCCCUCCUCCAUUAUAUCGAUAACGAUAAAUGUAUUCCCCCUCCUGUCUUUUCAUCUCUUCCUCAGUUCGCUGGGUAAUUUUUCCAUACAUUAAACUGUCGAGAUCAAUCUCCUUGUUCCUAGGAUCCAUUCUCACCUGCAAUAAAGUAGAACCACCCAAAUUUGAAUAUUAAAAAAAGGAAGGAAGGAAGUUUAUUAGACAGUGUAGAUGAUCAAAUCACAUGGUUUCAAGAAACAUUUUCUGUGAAGAAACUGCAGUAAUCCCAUCCUAGAUGAAAUAUUUGAGAAUUAUUCUAAUUAGCAAUGUUCAUAGAAGAUAACCACAGUAGUGAAUUGCAAAGAACGGCAGAAUAUACCUUAUCGAAAUUGACAAUAAAAAUUGCACUUGGCACAGGUCUAUCCAUCUCUGCUGCAUUGUAUCCACUAUUAUCCAUGUCAAAUAUGUAGGAAUAUAGUUUCUGAAAUACAGACUCCACAGCUGUUGCAUCCACCUCAAACAACGGCACCUCCCUUCCAUAAUCAGACUAAAAGUUGUAACUAGAUUUUAGAACUUCAUUUGAAGCCAAAUGAUAUCUGAAACUUUUUCAGCAAUAAUCAAGACAGCAGUAAUAAUUGAAAGAAACAAUGACAGUAACCUCUCUAGCAGUUCCAGCAGGAACCAUGGCCUCUUUCAGUGCCUUCUCCAGUGCUAUCAGCUCUGGUUGCCCAGCCUGUAGUGUAGACAAAUACAUUAUGUAAUGGUUAAAAGGAGUAGCACUUGCACCGACUCAAAAGAUAAAGUUGCACUCCAUUCUUUGGCUUCAUUGCCAUGAGACCAAUCACAAAUAUUAACCCGAUAUCAUGCAAAAUUUGAAGGGGGGAAAAUCUACACUAAGUUUUAAUGGAAUCAAGCAGCUUUAGGAUCACAAAAUAAUUUGGUGAGAAGAUAACUGGAACAUGUUGAAAGUUGCAUAUUGAUGUGAUCAGGUCUAGGUUUCACAUUUCAUAAAAUAAAUCUCUUGUAUCUUUACUAGGUUCUGUUUCUAUGAAUUAAAUUUGAAUAAAGCUAGAAAUGCACACUACGAACAUCCAAAUAGCAGCAGUAAAAACAUAAGCUUGCCAUGAUCUUAGGACUCACUCUAGAAGCCAAGCAUAUUAAAGAAUGUUAUGCGCUGACCAUAUACUCCCAAGAAAUCACCAAGAUUGUAAGUAAAAGUUGGAAGGGGGUUAACUGCAUGAGUAUGGAUGGCUAUUUUGUUCAUGUUUGUCCAUUCAGGUAAGGCUCCAACAUGCCAAAGUUACAUACAGACCAUGAGUAAAUGCAUGAUACCUAGAUAACCCAAGUCAGAAAAAGGUAAUUUUUUUUGUUCUUUUUAAUAUAAUAUCAAGACAUUUCAUUUAGAAAAUGUAAUAACAGAGGAAGAUUUCUUGUAAGUCAUCCAGAACCAUAGAAGAGUCAGAUCACGCAAAUUGAAAUAUGGCUGGAAACCAAACUCACACCACAUUGGUUAUUUCUAGCAAAAACAUAGAAAAAACCUCAAUACCUUUCAUAUGCUUGAUCCGAUUAUGAUUCUGCACUUAAAAAUUACAUAGAUGCUGUCCCUUCCAAAAAUUGGAUUUCCAUUCCUUGUUUCAAUUGUUUUUCAUAUAACUCACCUAGCAACACACGCCUAUGCUUCAUUAGGAUCUAUUUAAGUUUUUUGCCCUUGAGGCCUGGCUCAAGUGGUAAAGGGAUGGGGAGAGUUUGUGGGAGGUUCCAGGUUCAAGUCCCAAUGGGGAUAAAAUUUACCUAUAAAAAAAAAGGAUCUAUUUAAAUUUUUUCACUGCCAACCAUUAAAGUUAACAGCAAAAUUUUGACUCUAUUUGAUCCAUGUUGAUAAGAGAUUUCCACUGUUUUUUUUUUUUUUUUUCCCUCUCAUUUUACUUUCCUUUUAAAAUGGAAGUAGUCAUGCCUACAAAAGAUGACAUUAUAGAGCUCCAGCAAGAUAUGAUAUUGAACUGUAAGGGCACCAAGUAAAUAUUAAACAAGGAUGACUAGCACUAAGCUGUUGAAUAUGGUUAUAGACAAAUUAUAAGGCAUCUAACACACUAGAAUCAUUAUUCUUUUGACAAGUAAGCAAAGAGAAUAAAUUUAUAAUUAAAAACCAUACACCCAUGUACACAGGUCGUAUACAAAGGACAUCAAAAGGCAUAGCCUGGAUGAGGGAAAACACAAAAAACUACUCCCCCCCCCAUCUAGAUGCCACCCCCCAAUCUACAAAAUUGAUUAAAGGGAUUAUGAUAAUAGACUAGAACUGAUUAAAGGCAUCAUAUUCCUCCCAAUUUUUUUUAUAAUACACUAGAAUCAUUAUGAUCACAUAGAAAAUCCAAAGCAACAAGUUGAAACAUCCAACUGCACCAACCAUGUUAGGUGAUAUUAGUGAGAAUAACAGUUUACUGAAACUUACAGGAAACACAUUGUAGACGAUGUGAUGCUCAAUAUCAAGGAGCUCACCUGUCUCCAAGCAUGAGGGUCUGUGAGAUGGGAAGCUGAUUCUUAGGAACUCUUCCAAUUUGUGUGCAUCAACCAUAUACCUAUAGCCUCCAUCAUUAUUGAAACCAAUGAGGACUAUGUUUACUUUGACUGGGACCUGGAAUGGAACCUGUAUGACACUUAUAUACAUGAUUAGACAUUUAAACCAGACACCCUCGUUAAAAUAAUAGCAAUAUCAACAAUGAUUCAUUACCUAAUUAAAAUUCCAACACUGAAUGUAACAAUAUUUUGAAGAAAAGGGAAAAAAAAAGCCGAGACUUCUAUUGAACGUAGAAGAAACAUUCCAUGAUUUUGUUGAUAGAUGGAGGCAUCAUGGGUAUUGGCUAUCAAGGUACGUUUGACUUGAAGACUCAUUCAAAAAAAGUUAAGGAAAUGACCGAUCUUCAGAAAACUAAGAUGGUUCUAGUUAGCCCCUGGUGUAAUAUCACUUUCUAGAUGCACAAAUUGAAUAUUCCUUGAUUCAGCCAAUGUCUCUAUUCAUCUUAAUUUCAAUUUUGAGACAAUAAAGAGUCAACAUUCCAUAGAGGUGAAAACUAUGCAGCUCAUCAACCGCAAAAUUAACAAGUAGUUUCCCAUGGGCUCAGGCACAAAAUGACCCAAAGCCUAUGAAUGUACUAAAGAAGGUCCCGUUUCAGCAUGUAGCGAGGAACCAAAAUGAGCAUACCUUCAUCAUUUACUUACUGAGAUAACAAACUUGAACAAAAUGAAAAGCAUAAAACAAAGAACCAUUCAAGCGGAGAGAAUAUUAUAUACUGCUCUGUUGCAAUAAUAAACUGUGCGAUGGAGGAGAGCGAGAGAGAGAGGGCCAGAGAGAGAGAGCAAGUGCGAUGGAGGAGAGCAAGUGAAUCUGUGUGCGAGCGAGGGUGUAGUUAGCAAUGUCCACUCGGAGUCUCGGAUAAGCUUAAGGAAGAGCAGCUUCGGAGUGGAGUCGAAGACCUUCGAGAUCGAGGUAGAAAAGAAGAAGGGCAAAGUGCAAGUCACUAUUGUGGAGAGGAAAAGAGGGGUUUCUUCGUGGAUUAAGCUAGGACCAAAGAGCCUAAGGAUCUUUGUGGAAUGUCUGGUUCUCUGCAUUAAGGACACGCGAACUGAAAAAUGGGAAAUAAAUUGGAAGGAAAGAGGGAGGUUUUAUUCGCUGGUGCGCGAUGAAAACAAGGGGGGAUGCUUCCUCUGUCUGGGCGUUGUGGAUUAGGAAAAGAAAAGGUUUAGCAUCUUUAUCCCUAAAGGAAGAGGUGUAAAAGGGGGUUGAGCUUCAAUGGCGGAGACACUUCGGUGUUACUGAAAGGAAGGAGAGUCAAAAGGACGAUGCGAUGUCGUCAAAGCCCAUUUUGGGGAAAACCUUUGCGGAGGUGGUUAAGCUGCCAAGGAGUAAAGACAAACCCGUGGAAGUCAGCAAAAAAGACCUAAGCCGAAAUUUAAACAGGUUGGCUCAAUGUCUGGUUGGAUCUUGGGACCCCAAAUCAGUGAGGGGGGAUGAUUUGAGAAGUUGGGGGACCCAAAUGGCAAAAAUUUGGGGGUUGAAGGGUAACUUAGGUUUGGCUAAGUUGGAAAGGGGUAAGGUGUUGCUGGAAUUUGAGUUGUUGAUUGAAGCUGAGAAAGCUCUAAAACUUGGAAGAAUUUUGGUUGGGGGGUUCUUUCUGCGACUGGAAAAAUGGAGUCCUGAGACAGGGUGUCUGAUGGAAGGAGAGAAAAGGAGGGAGGCAUGGGUGAGAAUCAUGGGCUUACCAGUCUCUCUAUGGGAUCGGGCCAUCCUCAGAAGGGUAGGGGAGGAGUGUGGGGGUUUCUUAGCUAUCGAUUCUCAAACGGAGAAACUGGAGGAGUUGCAGUGGGCCAGGAUUCUGGUGAAGCUAAACGGCGAGGAGAUGCCUAACAUGAUGGAAAUUUGGGUCGAAGGGGUGUGCUAUUCGUUAACCCUAUGGUGGGAGGUUAGGCAGGUAAUGAGAUUAGUGCCGACAGAAAAAAGUGGGAAGAAAAGUGGAGCAGAAAGAGAGGUUGAGGGUGAGGGUGAGGUCUUUGCACGUGUGGGCAAGCGCGUGUUGGAGGAGGAUGACGACACAAGACUCGAGACCCAGUUGCAGUCUGCUAAUGGGACGCAGGGGCAGACGAGUGGGUCGGGGCGCCCUUUGGUUCGAUAUCGGGGCCUUGAUGGGUCGUCGGUUGGGCCCCAUGGAGGCUUUCAGCUUUUGGGUGGGCCCCUUAAGCAAGGCCUUUCUAAGAACCCAAGGUGCUCUAAUCUGGGCUCUGGGCCCGUUGGGAUAGAUCCAAUCUUAUCCUCUUCUUUUGAGGUUGGGUCGACUUCUUUUGGGCCAACAUCUUUGGAGGGCCCUAAAAGGGUCAAGGCUUUGGAGGCCUUCGUGGCGUUUAGGCCGGCUAGGUUGGACGUUUGCCGAGGCCCAUCCCAUUCCUUGGAGGGGAACAGAGCCCACAUUGGUGUGGCCCUUCCCGAGGUGUGGUCUGGCCCAAGUCUUUUAAGGGGUCCAAACGCUAAAAUCUCACAUUUCUAGGUGAAGGACGGCAUGCGGAAGCAAAUUGAGGAAGAGCUUCAAUCUAAGGAGAGAUCGAAGACUGAUCUUGCCCUAAUUGAGGAAGCGUCGAGGUAUGGGAGUGAUCCUAACCCUUGUGGAUUGUUGGCUUCUGAGUUUUCCUCUUCUCCUUCUUUUUUUUCCAAUUGGACUCCAUUGGGGGAGUAUUAUGACUAUUAUGGGGACGGUAGGGAGACAUUCCAGGGGGAAACCCCGUUACGCAUGCUCAUUGCUCCAAGGCCUAUAGAAGAUGAGACUGCCAAUCGUUGGGAACUGAUGGAGGCUAACAAUGGCAACAAUGAAGACUGUGGAAAGGAAUUGUGCUUAGUUCAAACUUUGCCAAGAGAAGUAAAGGGUUGGGAGGAGGUUAGUUGGAAGGAAAGUGAUCUGGCCAGGUUCAGUAAGUUCUUGGGGUUUCUGACAGAAGGAUUGGAGAAAGACAUUUUGGAUUUUUUGGUUAAAAUCCAGAAGAGAAGGGAAAGAGUCCACAUCAAAACUCUUCUGGAGAAAUCUAAGUUCGAAAGGGAAUUGAAAAGAUUAGAGUGCUCCAUUAACUAUGGGGGGGGGGGAACAGAAAGGUGGAUUGCAAGGAAGAGGUGUCAGGUCAUGGAAGUUAAAUGAAGCUAAGACUUUUGAGUUGGAAUGUACAUGGAGCUAACAACAGUUCCAAAAGAAAGGUGAUUAAGGUCGUGAUUAGAAGUCAGAGGGUGGAUUUGUUCUAUCUCCAAGAGACCAAAAUUCAGGCAAUGUCAAAGGGGUUGGUGAGAAGCUUGGGCACUAGUAGGUUUCUUGACUGGGGUACCCUGGAUGCCCAUGGCUCAGUGGGAGGUUUAUUGAUUUGUUGGGAUAAAAGGACCCUGGAGGUGCUUGAGAUGGAGAUAGGAAACUUCUCAAUUUCCUAUAGGCUCAGGAAUGUGGAAGAUGGAUUAGUUUGGGUUUUUACUGGUGUGUACGAGCCGUUCUCUAAAGAGGAUAGGGAUUGUAUGUGGGAGGAACUAGGGGCGAUCAGAGGCAUUUGGGAUGAUCCUUGGUGUUUAGGGGGUGACUUCAAUGUCAUUCUCUCCCAGAGGGAAAGGAGUAGUCAGCGAAGACUAACUGGUGCAAUGAGAAGGUUCACCCAGAUCGUUGACGAGUUAGAGCUUCUUGAUCUUCCUUUGCAAGGGGGCGCACUUACCUGGAGUGGGGGUAGGAAUAAUUAGGUUUAGGCUAGACUGGAUAGGAUCCUAGUGACCCAGAACUGGAUUGAUCAUUUUAGUGGGGUCGUCCAAAGCAGGUUGCCCAGACCUACCUCAGAUCACUUUCCCAUCUUGCUGAUGGGUGGUGGGUUAAGGAAGGGCCCUUCCCCGUUUAGAUUUGAAAAUAUGUGGCUUAAAGUUGAUGGUUUUAAGGACCUUCUUCGGGGAUGGUGGCAGGGGUCUGAGGUGAGAGGGAGGGCUAGUUUCAGACUAGCCACUAAAAUGAAGGAGUUGAAGCAAAAAAUCAAAGUUUGGAAUAGGGAGGUGUUUGGUAGGCUGGAAGUUAAUAAAAACUCAACUCUCCAACAAGUUGAGUACUGGGGUGGGGUGGAAAGUGAGAGGAGCCUUUCUAAAGGAGAAACAGAGUUGAAAAAAGAAGCCAAGGAAUCCUUUAAAAAGUGGGUUUUAAUGGAUGAAAUCCAUUGGAGACAAUUGUCAAGGGAGUUGUGGCUAAAGGAAGGGGAUAGGAACACGGGCUUCUUUCACCGGAUGGCAAAUGCCCGCCGAAAAAAUAAUUCCCUGGAUAUAGUUAAGAUUAAUGGGGUGUGGAUGACUGAGGAGCAAGAGGUGAGGGAGGGGAUUGUGAAUGCUUUCCAGCAUUUGCUCUCAGAAGAGCCAGGUUCGAGAGCUAAUAUUGAGGGGUUGCACCUCAAUCGCCUUAACUCCAGUGAAGCUAAAGUGUUGGAGUUGCCUUUCAUUGAGGAGGAAAUUCACUCUGCCUUAAUGGAAAUGAAUGGUGAUAAAGCUCCAAACCCAGAUGGGUUCACAGUGGUCUUUUGGCAAGCUGGUUGGGAUUUUGUGAAAGAGGAGAUUAUGGAUUUGUUUAAGGAGUUUUAUGAUCAAAGAUCUUUUACCAAAAGCCUUAAUACCACCUUCUUGGUCCUCAUCCCUAAGAAAGGUGGUGCUGAAGACCUGGGGGAUUUCCGGCCAAUCAGCCUAUUAGGGGGUUUGUACAAGCUUUUGGCUAAGGUGCUGGCGAAUACGCUGAAGAAGGUUUUAGAAAAUGUGGUUUCUGUAGAUCAAAAUGCCUUCGUGAGGGGCAAAUAGAUUUUGGAUGCUUCGCUUGUAGCUAAUGAGGUGAUUGACUUCUGGCAUAAACGAAAAGAGAAAUAGCUGAUUUGCAAAUUGGACAUCGAAAAAGGCUAUGACAGCAUCAACUGGAAUUUUCUAAUGAAGGUUUUGCUUAAAAUGGGCUUUGGGUCUCGGUGGACGGAGUGGAUUUGGUGGUGCAUCUCAACUGCCAAAUUUUCUGUAAUGGUCAAUGGGGUGCCUGCAGGCUUCUUCUCGAACUCCAAGGGGUUGCGGCAAGGAGAUCCUCUUUCUCCUUAUCUCUUCGUCUUGGGUAUGGAAGUGUUAAGUACUCUAAUAAGAAGGGUUGUUGAUGGGGCCUUCUUGUCUGGCUGCAGACUUCGGGGGAGAGGGGGAGUGGAGAUGAGUGUCUCCCAUCUUCUUUUUGUUGGUGAUACAAUCAUUUUCUGCAAAGCUAGGAAAGAACAACUAAUCGCUUUAAGCUGGAUUUUGGCUUGGUUUGAGGCGUCUUCCUAUCUAAGAAUUAACUUAGCUAAGAGCGUUUUAAUCCCGGUUGGUGAGGUUGAAGAGAUUGAGGAAUUGGCAGUGGAGCUAGGGUGUAGAGUGGGGUCUCUGCCCACUGUUUACUUGAGGCUGCCCCUUGGAGUCCAUCACAAAGCUAUUUUUAUGUGGAAUGGGGUGGAAGAGAGAAUGAGGAGAAGAUUAGCCCAGUGGAAAAGGCAAUAUAUAUCUAAGGACGGGCGUAUCACCCUCAUUAAGAGCACACUGGCCAGCAUGCCUAUUUACCUUAUGUCCCUCUUUCGAAUGCCCAAGAUUGUUGCAAAAAGGCUUGAAAAAUUACAAAGAGACUUUCUUUGGGGAGGGGGAAGCUUUGAGAGGAAAGUCCACUUAAUUAAUUGGGAGGUGGUGUGCACUCAAAAGGAGAAGGGUGGUUUAGGCAUUCGGAAGAUUGAUCCCUUGAACAAAGCCUUGCUGGAUAAAUGGAUCUGGAGAUUUGCCUAUGAAAAGGACAAUCUUUGGAAGAGGGUGAUCGGGGUGAAAUAUGGUCAAGAAGUAUUUGGGUGGAGGACUAAGGAAGCUAGCGAGACGUUUGGAGUGGGGGGAAGCUAGCGAGACGUUUGGAGUGGGGGUGUGGAAGGAGAUUAUGGCGGAGGCAAAUUGGUGUUGGCAUAGCAUAAAGUUUAAGGUGGGGAAGGGGACUAGAGUUAAAUUAUGGACUGAUCAGUGAUGUAGUAAUGUGGCGCUGUCCCAAAAUUUCCCCCAGUUAUUUGCCUUGGCGGUUCAUAAGAAUGCAACUGUCAAUGAAGUGUGAGAUUCAAGCCUUGGUCAAGGAGGUUGGAAUCUCAGAUUUUCAAGAGACUUUAAUGAUUGAGAGCUAGACUUGAUAAGAGACUUGCUUAAUAUGCUAAGGGACUUCAGGACAUCUUCAGAGGAGGACUCAGUGUUAUGGAAAGGAGGGGGUCAUGGUUGUUUCAGGGUUAAGGAUGCUUAUAAUCUGUUGGUUGUCCCCAAUGACUGCGCCUUCCCGAUUAAUUGCAUUUGGGUGGAUAAGGUUCCAACCAAAGUCGCUUUUUUUGCUUGGAAAGCCACAUGAGGGAAGAUUCUCACUUUAGAUAGGCUUCAAAAACGGGGGUGGCAGCUCCCUAAUCGCUGUUUUUUGUGUGGUUGUGAUGAGGAAAAUAUAAAUCAUAUUCUUUUACACUGUAUAGUGGUUAGGGUACUAUGGGAGAUCGUCCUUGGCCUCUUUAGGGUUCAGUGGGUGUUCCCAGAGUCGGUUAAAGAGGUGUUAUUUAGUUGGAGGGGCUCUUUUGUGGGGAAAAAAAGGAAAAAGAUCAGGAAUUCCAUCCCGUUGUGUAUUUUUUGGACGGUAUGGAAGGAAAUGAAUAGAUUAGCUUUUAAGAGGGGUUCUUUAACUAUACAGAAACUCAAAAAUUCUUUUGUUUGUAAUUUGUGGAGUUGGGCUAGGGUGUACAUUAGAGAGGAGUCUUCUUCGCUCUUAGGCUUUUUGGAGUGGCUAGCGGCCACUUAAGGGUUGGUGAGGUUGUUCUUUUUUGUGUUUUUGUUUUGGGCUGCUAUGUAUACUCCCUGUAUGCUUUGUGACUUUUUGCCCCUUAAUAUAUUUGUGCUUAUCCAUCAAAAAAUAAAAAAGUACCAUUCAAGCCUUGGAAAAGUUAAAACUUCAUUCUUCAAUUUACUGGAAGUAAUUUGGGGGAAGAUGCAGGGGGGGAAAGGGGCCGCAGAAUUUUACACUUUCAUGGGAGUGCAAAAAUUUCUAAGUAAAAUCUGUCACAGCACACUUCCCUUCACCUUCUAUGCUCUUAUCCAAAGCAAGGGCAGCCUACAACAAACUACCAAAAACAAGGUUCAUAAUGUUUGGUGGAAAAUAUACACAGGUGGGGUAACUCUUUUCCCAAUCAAAUUGGUUGUCAAUUUAGCAUCUUAAGAAAAGCUAGUACAGCAGAACCAUUUUCAGGAAUUAUGCUAUCUUCAAUCUACCACUGACUUUGCAUAAGUUGUUUAAAUUCUCAGGAUAAAUUGCCCAGGAUGAGAAUAAAAAAAUUAUUCAUUAGCUGGCAUAGUGCAGCCUAUGUGUCUAAAUCAACUUUAACUUUCCAGGGAUCGGUUAGUCAUGGAUUGGGAAUCAUCUGUUCUUUGAUUAGAUGCAACCUAAUAGUACCUCUGUGCUGCCAUCCAUUAGGACUCUCCAUAGGACUGAAAAUCCAGAUUGAAGUAUGAUUCUAACUGUAGAAAUGUGCCAAGUUGUAGAAUUUUGGAGGAAAUGGGCCACUAUACUAAAAUAGAAUUCUGAAGUAAACCUAAAUAGCUCUUAUUUCAUAUCGAACACCACAGAGAAGCACUGGAAUAUCAAUGUUAACAAAAUGAAAUAACCACAUUUACAAGGGACCAACUAGCACAACUGACAUGCUGUUGGCUACUUGGUGGCAUGGUGUGGUUCCAGGAAAUUCCUUUAAAAGGAAUAAGAAAAAUGAACUUCCGAACCUUAGAAUUCUCAAUAUUUGGGGCGAGCAAACUAAACCUCCACGCUGCUAUGAUCAACACAAGCAGCUUAAUUAAUUAGCUUUCCGUACAAUGGAAAACUUAAAAAUAUGGAAUAUAUACAUCCAAAAUUUUACUUUCCUCCAUUUUCUCAGCAACCAAACGGAGGAGGAAGGUUCGAACAUACAAAUUAACGGAAGGAAUGAGUAAAUUGUCAUAGCAAACAUAAAAAAUAGAUUGACACGAAAUCAAAACACGAUCACACAGUGUGAAAGGAAUAUGCACCAAUCAGAUUAAGUGAAUCUGAAGCAUCAAAAAUCGAAGAUUCAUAAUCUUUUAACAUUCCUUCAUUUUCUUGCAGUUUCCGAGCAACCAAAGGGGAGACGAAUACCUCGGCACGCGAAUGGAGCAUGCGGCGAACAUCGGAUCGGACACUAUCUCUGACCUCGUGAAAAGCCCCAUGGUGCCACUGAGGAUGCCCCGGGUCUCACCGGAAGGCCUCCGGAGCCGCGGACGCCGACUGAAUGGCGACCACAGUCAGCGUCAGUAUUAAGACAGGCACCGCGCUUAAAACUGACUUCAUGGCUGUCAGAUGUUGAAAAUCGGGCUCCGGCUACUUCUGAUCGUCGCUCCCGUGCCCCAUAGACAAAAGCCGUUCUUCUAGGUUCAUUUCUUUCUCUAGUAGUCCACAGAGCCGCAUUUCCAAAAAUGCACCUUUGUUUAUUAAUAAUUACGAUUCUGCCUCUGGUCACUGGCACUGUCGUUCUAUCAGUAUCAGAUCACUUCAGAGUUCAGACCAAUAAUCCCUUGGUUAAUUCUAGGUGCUGUUUGGAUUUACCUUCCAAGUCCACUAAUGGACGUUUAUUAAUAAUUUUAUUAAACAAAAACGGUGAAUUUUUCUUGCAUAUAACUACUUGUAUUUUUAUUACUUUUUUUUUCAAUAUCAACUUGUACAAUAAUCGAAUGCAAAUAAUAAUAAUGUUCUUACAUUCUCCUUUUAUGAAAACAAAAAAUUGACUUAAAAAAUUAAAAUUAUUUCAUAUUUAAUUAAAUUUCAUUAAUAAUAGUAAGGGAGAAUUACCCUUAAGGGUAGGCUGGGGGAAAAAAUGAUUGAAAAGGGUGAGUAAAUUUGAUAAUUCUUUUAUAUUUUUAUUAGUCAUUUUUUCCCUCGGUCUACCCUUAAGGGUAAUUCUCCCUAAUAAUAAAGCUACGCAAACAAGACCUAAUGAGUUAGAGAGACUUCAAAGCCAAUAAUGAUAAUUAUUGUAACAAGAGUUCACACCAUACGACCCAGCUUGUAGAUAAGGAGGGAAGGUAAGAAAUAAGACUAUUGCCACUCAGCAAUUAAUCUUGAUUCUCUGCCCUAUGGCAAGUAGGAAAAUAUAAAUUUGGAACCAAUAAAUUAUUUUUAAACUUACUUUUCUUUUUCUAUAUAAAAUUUAAAUAACUUGAAAAUAAAUAAAUAAAUAAUUUAAUUAUUUUAUCAUACUAAUAAAAAAUGGAUCCAGACAUAGCAUUAACAUUACCAUUCCCCCGUUUUACAAGAUUAAAAAAAAAAAAAUUCAUUCUCAUUGGGAGAAAAAAAAAGGAAUAUAUUUCAUCACAAAUAUAACCUGGAGUCUGCCCCAGUUGGUAGUAAAGCAAAGGUGACGAGAGGGGAAGGCAAGAACUCUUGAGUGGCUUCUAGCCAUAAGUUAGUCCAGGCCAAGUCAACUAAAUGAUAAGCCCACACUCUUAAAUCCUCUAGUUACCAUGCAACACAUACAUCCACCUGAAAACACUAUUUAACCAAAUGAUAUUAGUCGAUGUUGAGCUCCGCACCCACACAUAUCUAGAGAGAGAGAGAGAGAGAGAGAGAGUGAGACUGAAGGGAAGGAGAGUGGAAGCCAAAAAAGAAAAAAAUACAACAUGCAUACAAGUAGAUUAUAUGAGGGUAUUACAAGGGAGCUUAGAUCUUCUAACAACAUUUUACAAAUUUCAAGCCUCUUCAAAUAAAUGGGGGACCUCUCUAUUAGUAUCCGAGUAGCUCAACUGCUUGCUUUGACGAUUGUUGUUGCUCUCUCUAACCGUAUGCAUCAUGAGGAAUAUUAGGGCAAUUGCCGAAAUCAGGGGAAGGAGAAAUGGGCUUUUUUAGUUCCAUAAAUCAUCAGUGUUCCAGUGCACUACGAACUGAAAGUGGAGGGUCUUGCACCAUGCCUCUGGAUAUUAGGUCGUGGUUUAAGAACAUAACAAUAACAGUUAUGUCGUCAUGAAAAUGUCGUCUGACCUUCUUGUCAAUCCUUCGCAGAUCUGAGUACCGCAUUUCUCGUUUUCUUGCGGCUUCUUGGAGGGCUGCCUUUACAAGUCGUUUGGCACUUCCCUGCAAUGAUGGAAACUUGUGAGCUUGACAUAUGCAGAUUUACCAAAACCAAUUUAUAUGAAGAGAUACACAUUAUACACAUGUGCAUGAGUUUAAUGUCUACUUUAUCAAAUAACUGCAGUUCAACAUUUUUUUUUUUUUUUUGAUAAAUAUAACUGCAGUCCAACAUAUAAGGAUGUAAUAUCCACAAACAUCAUCUGGAAAAAGUACAAAAUGUUCUCGUUAAGAUCUGUUGCCUACAAACUAUCUGCAGCUAGCUUAUAAGAGAUUCUACUUUAAUUUAUGCUUAAUAUUAGGCAGUGUAUUAAUAUUGAGACAAAGGCCCUCCAAGAUUGCCUACAUCAGAAAUUUUCAUAAUAUUCCCCAAGAAGAUCUGUUAGCUGUGAAUUAUUAGCAACGAAAAGACCCGUUUCAUUUAUCCCAGAGGGAAGGGAGGAAGAAAGGGUCUUCAGAACAUUGAGACACUAGCAAGCAAAGAUUUUAUCUGUCACAGGUAUCACUUAGCUUGGAGGUCCAACGCUAAAAUUUGUGUUUAACAGAAUGGUAGAGGGCAGCAUAUUUUUUGCUACGGUAUCCUUGUUCAAACGUCCAUGCAUUUCCCUCGGGACAAGUGAACAAAAGAAUUUUAGCAAAUGCUUAGUUUCACAGCUUAUUCUGUCUCCAUAUCCCUAUCAAUUAAUGUCAGUGAUCAAAACAAGUUUGCUUUAGUACGAUUUCGAAUAUUUUAUGAGUUCAUAUUUGCUAGCAAGUUCAAAAGGAUUUACAAAGCAUUGCCAAGCAAGUAGUUCAGCAAAUUUGCGUGGAGCCCGUAAUGAUGGUCAUCUCACAUAUCUAGCACCAGAUAUUGGUAUGUUACAAAAAUAACACAGAUAGAAGGGUUUAGAGAUUAAUAUUUGGUAACUCGUUUAUGCGUCUGCCUUUUCUAUUUUUAUUAAUUAACUUAAUUUUUUUAGUUUCUUUAUUUUUGAAAAUUAAUAAAAUUGUUAAAGAAUCCAACAAAUAAACUCUUACUUAAUUUGGAGUCUAUUUAUAUAAUAAAAAAUUUUGAAAUAUUAUAAUUAUGCAUAGGAUGGAAGAGAAAUAGGCAUAGUUAUUUUAGACCAAUUUUGACUCGAGAAAUUCUAGUAUUUAAUUAAUGAAUUUAAUUUAUUAAGUUUUAUUUGAUUUUAAAUUCUUUUAUCUAAUAAGAAAUUUUAAGACAAUAUGAAAAAAUUAAUUAAAAAUUCAAUAUAAGCAUAUGCAUUACAAGAAAAUAGACAUACUUAUCGUUUUUUUAAAUAAAAAAUAAUAAUUUAUAGGUUUAUUAAAAUAAAUAUUAUCAAGCUUAUUUAUAUUGGUAUCAUCCAUUUAUUUUAAAAUGUUGUUGUUCAUUUUGAAUGAAAAUUAUAAUUCUAACAAAUUGAGAAAAAAAAAUAAAAGAUAGUAAUAAAAAAACCAAGUAGAUUGGUGAGUUGGUAAAUAAUAGAGAGAAUAUGGGUUUUAAUGGGAUGAUGAGAUUAUAAAAUAAAUAAGUAAAUAAAGUUUUUUUUGGUAUAAAGGAAAUUAUUUUUUCACUUGCUUUUUUAACAAAAGAAAAUGUAAAAAAAAACCUUUCCUUUUCUUAAAAUUUUUUUAACGGUAUUAUUUGUUAAUUAUUUUUAAAAAGGAACAAUUUUCUCACAAUAAAAAUAAAUCAGAUAAUUACCAAAUUUCAAUGAAAAAAAAAAUUGAACUGAAGAGAGGCGAAUAUUUGAAUACACGUGCUUAGAAAAAAAUAGCAUAAACAAAAUUUUCUAAAAAAUAAUUUAAAUUUUAUACCUUCUUAAAUGAUAAUAUCUUUAAAAAUAAAGUGUAAAAACCCCUAAUUAGUUUAUAACAAAUGAUAAAAAUAAAAAAUAUUUAAAAAUAAUUUAAAUUUUAUGCAUUGUAAAAUUAGAUGGUACUUCAAUAGUUAAAUCUAAUAUCUUUAAAGAUAAUUUGUAGAAAAUUUUAAUUAAUUUUAAAUAAAUAAAUUAAAUUUAAAAUUUACAAGCAUCCGUUGUUAUUUUAUGAUUUUUUUAUUUAUUAAAUAUGGGUAAAAAAACGCAGUUUUCCCUUGAGAUAACCCUUGAAUUUAUCUCAAGUCCAAAAAUGUAAUUUUCUUUUUUCUUUUUUCUUUUUUGGGAAAAAUAAUCCUGCGUAGCGCCCAAAUACUGAAAGAACGGUGAAGGAGGAGGGAGGAAUAGUAGGAAUGGGAUCUCUACUGUUUUUUUAUAUAAAGUGAAGCAAAGGCAUUUGGCUCUUCAGUAUAAUGCUUUCUUGGUCUUUCGACAAAAGAGGAUACAAACCUCGAGUUUGUGCGCGAAUCCAACCCCUCAAUCUUCUUUCAAAGGGGUGUUAGAUUCACGCACAAACUCGGGAUCUGUCUCUUCUGUAGCAUCCGCUUUAUUACCGGCGCCAGUUUAUUGAUCUCCUCUUUUUUUUUUUUCAGGUUUGAGACUUGAGAGUUUACCAUUAUGUGGCUUGUUGUUGCAGAUCCCACCGUUAUGACGUACGGUGGCAGAGUUCGAGUUCUUCGCUUCGGACUGCGAUGGUAGAGAAAUUCGUUAUUUCAAUUAUUUGAGACGACCGUUUUUACGAGAAUUUCUCUUUGUCAAUAUUUUGAUAUUUUUCAAUCUUAAAAUAAAUAAAUAAAUGUUAGAUUUAUAAAUUAAGGAUGAUUUCCAAUUUUUUAUCAAAACCGAUUGAUUUUGUUUUAUAUUCAAACCUAACAUAAAAAGGAUAGGAUGUACAAAUUUUGACCAUUUCAUCUUUUUCAAUUUAUUUAAGAGUGGUAUUUGCUUUUUUAUUUAAUUUUAAAUAAUUUUUUUUAUAUUUAAUAGUAUUAAAAAUUAUAUUAUUUAUUUUUUAAAUAUUUUAUUUAUAUUAAAUAUUUAAAAAUAAAAUAAAAUUAACAUAUUAUUUUUUUAUUUAAAAAAAAUAUAAAUAUUUUAAUUUUUUACAUUUAAUAAAAAAUUUAUAAUAAGUCAUAAAAAGAUAAAAAAAAAAAACCAAUAACCUAAAUUUUGAAAAUAAAUUAUUUUUAAUAAAAAGUUAAAAAACAAAACACACUUUUAUUUAUUUACUAAUAUAUUGUUAUCAUCUUCAUCAAUAAUCAUUAUUUAUUUUUAAACUAGCAUAUGAUUUUAUUCGUCUCCAAAAAUCGUCCAAAAAUACUCAAGGUGAUAUAUCAUAAUCACCCUAUAGUUACCAUGGGAUUACGAAAACUUUUCCAUGCUAAUAUUAUAAGUUUAUGAGAUUUGACCCAAUCUAUUAUAUUAGUUUUAAAAUCUAGCUACAUCAUGAACUUCUUCAUUAAGGAAUAAUUUAAAGAAAAAUAAUAUAAUAUUCCAAAAUAUCAAAAACAAUAUAAUAAUAAAAAUUUUAAAUAAUUAAUUAUAUAAUUAGUUUUUAUUUUAAAAUUUAUUUUUACUAUCUAAAUGUCAUAUUUUUGUGUUCAAGACAUUCAUAAAACUAAUUAUUUUAUUUAUUCUUAUUUUAAUUUACAAUUUAAUGAUUUGAAAAAAAAAUCUAAUAUAUUUUCAAAUAUUCCAAAAUAUUAGAAUUUAUUAUAUAAUAAAAAAUUUAUAAUAAUUAAUCAUAAUUUUGGUAAUGUGAUAAUAAUUAUAAUUUUUAAUUAAAGUUAAUUUCAAUCAUUUGAUUAAAUAGACACAACUUAACAUAUUUUUUAAAUUUUUAUUUAAUAUAAAGUUUAUGUGAAACGUGGAUGGCUCAUAUACCAUUCAUUUUUGUACACAUUAAUUGACCAAAAAAGCCCUCUCAAACGCGUUCAGCCCAAAGCAUCAUCCUCCCAGUGGGUCCAAUGGCUAAUAGUUAAUAUUUAUAUCAGCCAUCUAUAAAUGGAAGUCGAGCCCCAAAGCCCAACACCCAAAACAGGCAAGCCUCUUAUCAAGAGAUGGGCACAUCUCAAGUUUGUGCGUGAAUCAAACCCCAUCGUAGCCGUCCAUAUCUUCGUGUACUAAUCACGGGGCGAUUCGACGCCGUUAGAUUCACGCACAAACUCGCGAUCUGUCCUUCUGAAACAUCUAAUGAUUUCCCCUUUGCUUAUAUAUCGGGCGAAAGUUUUGUAAUCUUGUUUUUGGCGCCAGUUUGGUGAAUUCUCUGUUGGUUUCCCUCUCGAUUGUUUGAGAAAAAAGACGGGAAAUUUUGGGAAAUUAUUUUCAGAUGGCUUCUGGUUCGGAGGAGGGAUCAGGGUUUCCGGCCGACGAUUAUGAGUCGUUGAUAGCGACGACCGAUGUGGAGCUGUUGAAGAGGGCGUGGAGGAACGAGAAGGCUGCUCCCGAGACUCUCCAUUUUCAAACUAGAGAACAGAUCCAGUUGAUGGUAUGCUUAAAACUUCAAUCCUUAACCUUCUGUUUGGUUUCUGAGAAAGUAAACGGAAAUGAAAAAUACAAAAAUUAUAAAUCUUUUUUUUUGGUGAAAAUUUUGAGAUUCGACUUAAUGAAGCGAAAUUCGCUGUUAGAGUGGAUUUUUCUUUUUCUUCUUUUUUAUUUUUUUGUUUCAUACGGUCCCAAAUUCCACAUUAUCAUCGGAGACCAAACGGAACCUAGAGCAAUUACUAACUAGGUUUGUUGUGAAGCUUGGCAUAAGAUUUUCUUUUUUUUUGAUAGAAUUUGAUUUGCAUGUUCUCCACGUUUGUUUGAAAGUUAUUUAUUUAUUUUUUUCAUUAUUUCUAUUUUCCUUUGCACUCUAAAAUCGUUCAUGAACAGUUCAAUGAUCCAUUUAAUUGUGAAAUCAAUGAUUUUGCACGAAAUUUGUUUGAGCUUUUAAAAAUUUGGAGCAAUAAGGAUCGCAAAUUGACAGCAUUAGGUACCAUUUUCGGGCACCUAGUGAGGUUUUGUUCUUCAGGCAUUUGAUUAAUGGGCAUUAUAUAUCUAUUGUCCAUCCAGUCUACCUACAUCUAACAGAGCAUUGUAUUUCAUUCAUCAAAAAAUGUCGUAUUUCUAGUUUUAGGUGACUUCAACUCCCUAAAAAUAGUUUUUUCAGAUAAUGUGGUGCCUUGAACUUGAAUCAGCACUAAAAGGCUGGAGUUUUGGAUUUGAAACUCAUCCCAACAAAGCCUUCCACUAAUUAGUGUAUGAAACUUUGAAUAUUGAAAAAUUGAUAUCCCAUCUGUUUGGCCAUUUAGUUCCGGAGCCACGGUUGGACACCUUUAUCUUCUGCAAAAGCAAAGGAUCUAUCGAAGCUUUCCAGCUUGAUGACAGGUAAAUGUUUCUUUUAUCAUCAUAUAUAAGUACACUCAGUAGAUGAUUUCCCAUUUGUGCUAACCAAUUAAAUUUGCCAUAUGCAGCAAAGAAGUGGUGGACCUGGUUGCUGAUGAUUUAUACAUUCUUCGUUACAACUCAGUAAAUCCACUCAUAGAAAGUGGCCAAAUUGAUUUGGUGUAAGCCACUAAGCGUCUUUUAGCACAAAACAGAAAUUGUAGUUACAGUGUGCUAUUCAAAAUUCCAUCAUCCAUGCCUUGGGUGUUUGAUUAAACUACCGCAGAUUGUUACCAUAUUGAAGAGGACUGUGUACCUUUUUUUUUUUUUUUUAAGAGAAAAUAUAUAUAAAAUUAUCUAUAAACAUCGUGAUUCAGCUGGCUAUUUUAAAAUGGAAGUUCAAAUAAAUGCAACAGAAAUUAAACCCCGGAAGUCACGUGCAACAAAUAUAAUUUAAUAACCUAAACCAAUAUUCUUUUGAAUCACAUGUUUUAUUAUGAGAAUUUGUUCUUUUUUGCAUUUUUUAUUUUAAAAGAAAAAAGGAAAUUGACUGAGCUCUAAAGGGGAGGUUGGCAAGAAACUUGGAACGCAAUGCUUUUUUAGUUAAUGGGACAAAAAGAUGAGUUCGGCAAAUAUGCAGAAAUUUCUUCAUUUUAUUUUACUUUUACAGGUAAAAAUACGUGCAAAAUUAGUUAACAUAAUCAACGGCCAGGAUCUUGAGCAAACCAUCAUAGGAUACACCACUAUCUUCAUCACCGCCGCCCAAUUUGAUCAUGGCCUUGAUUUCUUCCUCAGUUGCAGAAAACCCGGCCCAAUUCAUAUAGCUCUUCAAAUCCUCGAGCCCUACUUUGCCGUCGCCGUCCCUGUCCAUAACCUUACACACAUCCUCCAUCACCCCAGCGACGCCGUGGCCCUUGUUCCUCGGACUUCUCCGGCAGCCCAACACGUGUUCAAACUCAUCGUACCCCACAAACCCAUCCUUAUUCGAAUCCGCCACCGACAUCAUCGACCCGAUCGCCUCCUCAUCUCCGGAGACGCCGCUUGGGAAUCCCACGUAAAAGCUGCGGAGAUCUUUGACACGAUUUUCGGCCGGGCAGCCGUUGUGAUUCUGACGAGGAAAUAUACAAAGAAUCCAGCAAGAAGAAUUCCACCAUAGAUGAACGUUUGAGAAGACUCCACUGGUAAUUUGUAUUCGAUGUCACAGCAUUUCAUUUUCUCCUUCUCACUCACCAAAACAUAAUCUACAUACCUGUUAUAUCAUAGACAGAUGAUUACUACAAGGAUCAUAAAACCCUAAUCAGAAAUUUCAAUUUCAUAAUCACCAAGAAGCUUUUUCCAUGUGCAGGGCAACUUACUGUUGGGUGUAGAUAGUGUUUUGUAAAAUUUCUGAGCAUUUCAUUUUUUUUUGUGCAGAUUUCGCUUUAAUCCAAAACCCCCUAAGAGGGUUUGAUCAGAAAAUAACAUUGGCUUUAAAGAUCAAUAGUAACCUGAAUUCCAACCCUAUCAAACAUGGAGCCCAAUGGUAUUUAUCUUAAUUUCAACAUUCUUUUAUUUCCCUUUAUAAAUUAGUAUAAAUUAACAUAUUGGUUUUAUUUUCAGAAUUAUUCAAGUAAAAUCAAGAGAGGAGUUAAGAGAUGAGAUCCACCUCGCCGCCCUUGAUAGCGUUGUGAAUCUCAACUCCUUGUGUGCUGCCUUUACAUUUGUCGGACUCUCCCUCACCACUAUGGAGUUGCAGAGCACUGAUGGUCGUCUUGGCUGCAGUCCCAAUAUAAGCACGAUCAGGAACUUGAUGUUAUUUGAGGUCAUUUCCUUUGCGUUUUUUCUCGCAUCAUCAUUGGUGGCUUAUGGCUUGAAGACAAUGAUGAGUCUCAUCAAUGCUGCGGAGUUAAAUGAAGAGUUUAGGAACCACUUCAACAGAAAAUCUAUUCAGAAGGUGAUGCUUUGUGCCAUCUUCAGCUCGAUAUUGGGAUGUCUUAUUUUAAUUCUCUCAAUAGUGUACAUCCUUCAGAUUAGGCUAGGGGUAUUGAGUUGUGAGAGUCCAUCUACAGUCCAAGGAGUGGUUGCUCUUGUUAUUAUUGUUACUUGUGGUGUUAUUUUUCAUGCUGCUAUUACUAUCUCAGCUUAUAUAUAUGACUUUUGGUUUAUAUUAGUAUGUAUGAAACAUUAUUAAUGUGUUUAAUUAGAACAUGAGCAUUGUCUUUUAAUCCCUCAACUCCUUCAAUCUCCUCACUUCCCGGACAGGAGAGCCAACUUUUCUCAAAGAGAAAGAACAAAAUUUUUUCUCCUCAAAAUUAUAUAUUUUCUGGGGGGAUACACAUUUCUCCUCCAUACUGCCAAGCGAGCUUUGAAAUUUUGACACGAUUUCCGGCCGGGCAGCCGUUGUGAUUCUGACUUAACGCACAGGAGAUGAAAAGAAAAUGACCAGGAAAUAUACAAAGAAUCCAGCAAGGAGAAUUCCACCAUAGAUGAACGUUUGAGAAGACUCCACCGGGAAUCUGUAUUCGAUGUUACAGCAUU